GGCUUGCAUAUGAUGACUGCAUAGUUCAGCGGAUAAUCUGUGAUGAUCUUUUGUGUCUUUCGCUCCUAUCUGAUGCAUCCU